UUUAGGGAGGGACACUGAUAUUUCCAGUACUGGUCAUUAAUAAACAGUGUUAACCACAGAAAGUCCUUCAAUGUGAAGCUAAAGUGCUUGAGUUAAAACAGUCAGUCAUUUGGUUGCUGUUGAUCUGAUGAGCUUCAACACGAUAUAUUUGAUGCUGAUGUUGGUCAGAAUGGCUUCUGCUCUUCCUCUGAUCUUUCUGCUCAUGAUUCACAGGGUUUCUAGUGCUGGUUGGGGUGUGAGUUACAGUCCUUCACACAUCUGUGCACUAAAGAACUCAUCAGUGAUAAUGAACUGCACUUAUACAUACCCUACUGGAUAUCAGAUCAAGAAAGCAUUCUGGACCAAAGGCCCUAUACA